GAGAAAGGAUGAGAAGAGGCAAAGAAGGCGGAAAAAAAAGAAACACUGCAGCCAAGCGAAGAGCCAGAGAGUGUGGGAAGGCGGUGCCGGAGACGCCAGUAUUUAUAGACCACCUUGGGAAAGACAGCAAACUGGGAAGAAUGCACGUAGGCUCUGGCCCAGGCAGACCUGGGGUGAAUCCCAGUGUUCAGUGCUGCUUCUCAGCGGCUGUUGAACCCCAGAUGCUUCAAAAACCAAGAAAGUGUAAGAAGACAGUGAAGUGUUCCUCUCACCCGUCCUCCAUCCACUCAAUUCUACCACAAAAGGCCUGUGGUUGCUAUCGGUGAACCGAUGUCUGCUCGGAUGCCCAAUGGCUUCUCGCAUGUGGCUGCAUUCCUCUCUGUGUCUCAUCUCUGUGAGCCCUGGGUCUGUGUGAUAGCGCGGUCCCUGAAGAGCAUGUCUCGAAAGGAGGCUGGGACGUGAGAAGACAUCCUCAAGGAGAUUUUAAAGUAACCGCUACACUCAAUGUGAGGCUUGAACUUACAACCCUGAAUCAAGAGACACCUACUCUACCGACUGACCCAGCCAGGUGCUCCAAUAAUGGAUAACUUUUUAACAGCCACCCGUGAGGAUACAUGCCUACGCCUGGAAAGCGUCACAGCAAUGUGUGGCCGAGGCACAGAGGUGGCAGUUACGUGACCGUCUGAUGGACCACUAUUGACCAGGGAGCUCUGUCAGGGAGCCUUCUGGACAGUCAGCUGACAGAGACCCAGGGCCAUGGGCCGGGAGUGGGGCUUAGGCCAGGAGGCCUGAGAAAAGUGGGACAUCUCCAGGGUAGAUGCUGAGUUCAGCAACAACAACACGUACCACCUAGGCAGUCUGGCUCAUCACCAUGAGCGGCAGGAAGCUGCAGCUGCAAAAACGAACUUUUCUAGUUCGUAGUGAAAGGGGGUGAGCACUUGUGUCAUGGGACAUCAAAUAUAUCACAAACACGAGAGCUUAAUGGGGCCAGUGUGAUACUCAGGAAGAGGCAAUAAAAAUUGGUAAGAAGGUCGGCAGAAGCAGAUAAACUAUUCCCUGUUGCGGAGGAACAGGAAUUCAUAAAAGAAUCCACUGGGUAUAAACUCACAUUUCUGUUUGAGAAAGCAGCGCAUUAUGUUGUAGAGUUUGUAUUUAGGAGUGUUUUAAAAAUUAUGUUUAUUUCUUCUUGUCGUUUUCCGGAGACCUGAGUUAAAGAA